CCCGCCCUCCUCCCUCCAGAUCAAUGGACUCCUGCCCCAGGACACAGUGGAUCACACCCACGUACUGAUUCUACACCGUCCCAUUGGCUAUGGCGUGGACGUCCUGACCACUGCCGCGGCUUCAUGCUAAUUAACCAAGCUCCGGAUCCCACUCCACUCGUCUCCACUCCACUCCACUGCAGCCCCUGGGCGUCUUCAGCAUCGGAUGUCAUCCUGCAGGAGACAAAGUCAACAAUGUGUACGAAGCACAAAGACCUAGAGCAGAGCCGACGGGAACACCUACAGAAACAACACUGCUGGGGGUGGAGCCAGGAGUCAGGUGGGUGG